rnacentral:rRNA from 1 species
CUGUUANGUAGACUGCUCAUGAAAUUAAUAGCCGCUUAUAGUGCUAAGGUAGCAUAAUCAUUUGUCUUUUAAAUGAAGACUAGAACAAAAGAUUUAACAUUUUAAUAAAUAUUUCUUGUUAAUAUAAUUGAAAUUAUUUUAAACGUAAAAAAACCUCUAUAUUAAAGAUAGACGACAAGACCCUAUUGAACUUAACUCAUGUUAAACUGGGGCAGUUAAUAAAUAAACAUUUUUAAUCUAAAUAAUAUACAAAAAUUGAUCUAAUAUAAUUAAUUAAUUGAUCAAGUUACCAUAGGGAUAACAGCGUAAUAUACUUUUUAAGAUCUUAUAUAAAUAUAAGCUUACGACCUCGAUGUUGAAUUAAUAACCUAAUUUAAAGCAAAAGUUAAAAAAGGAAGUCUGUUCGACUUUUAAAAAAUUACAUGAUCUGAGUCNAANCCCGGAGGA